UGGAGAGUUUGAUCCUGGCUCAGAUUGAACGCUGGCGGCAUGCCUUACACAUGCAAGUCGAACGGCAGCACGGAGCUUGCUCUGGUGGCGAGUGGCGAACGGGUGAGUAAUAUAUCGGAACGUACCCUGGAGUGGGGGAUAACGUAGCGAAAGUUACGCUAAUACCGCAUACGAUCUAAGGAUGAAAGUGGGGGAUCGCAAGACCUCAUGCUCGUGGAGCGGCCGAUAUCUGAUUAGCUAGUUGGUAGGGUAAAAGCCUACCAAGGCAUCGAUCAGUAGCUGGUCUGAGAGGACGACCAGCCACACUGGAACUGAGACACGGUCCAGACUCCUACGGGAGGCAGCAGUGGGGAAUUUUGGACAAUGGGCGAAAGCCUGAUCCAGCAAUGCCGCGUGAGUGAAGAAGGCCUUCGGGUUGUAAAGCUCUUUUGUCAGGGAAGAAACGGUGAGAGCUAAUAUCUYUUGCUAAUGACGGUACCUGAAGAAUAAGCACCGGCUAACUACGUGCCAGCAGCCGCGGUA
rnacentral:rRNA from 1 species